rfam:Picea glauca, whole genome shotgun sequence.
CGACCCCAUCUCAGGUGAGAACACCUGCUAAGUUUAAGAAUAUAAUUAAGCGGAGGAAAAGAUACUUAAAAGGAUUCACCUAGUUACGACGAGCAUACCGGGAAGAUCCUAGCAUGAAAAUCGGGUGGCAGUGUCACCUGAAUUGUAUUCUGUAUAAGCAUCCUUAGCAGUUGACCGGGCCCAAGUCCCCUCGAAGGGGGUGCCUGAGAGGUUGAUAGCCUCAUUGGGCUGGGACCCUGUCACACCAUGAGGCGUUGUCAGCGAGUUGGGUUGUUUUGGAAUGCAACCCUAAUCAGGUUGUAAAUUUCAUCCAAGGCUAGAUACGGGCAAGAGACUAAUAGUGAACAAGUACCGUGAGGGAAAGAUGAAAAUGACUUUGAAAAUAGAGUUAAAGAGUGCUUGAAAUUUUCAGGAGGGAAGCGAAUGGAGGCUAACAAUGUGUCUCGAUUGGAUGUGGAACGACUCAAGCUAGUUCGCUGCUCGACUCGAGGUGCAAACCAACACAGGUCGUUGGAUCGACACAAGCACAAGUGGAGUACUUCAUGUUGGUUUGUUGUUGUGGUGGUCGAUGAGUGGAGAAAUCAAGGGAUUCCACCAACACUCAUUAUAAAGUCAACAUGGGUAGUCAUAACUGCAACAUUGACUAAAACAAUCUAACUUGAUAGAAAGUUAGAUAUAGUUCCUAUUGAUUCACAUUGUAUACCAUCAAAGGUCUGUGAAUUGGUCAAGGUGGAAUGAGAAUGGGAGAACCAAAGUGUUGCUAUAUUGACUUAGAUAUAUGAACUAUCUCCAUGAUCUAAGGACUCAUUUUUAAAAUCAGACAUAGUUGAAUGUUUCUAUGUCUUAGAUAACUAGAACAUCGAAGUUGGCAUGUUAUAAGGCCAACUGAAUCUAAAUAGAUUGAAUGACAUCACUGAGCUUGUGAGUGAUAGAGACAAAUGUUGGGUAUGUUUUAUAUUCUUUUCAUGAGUAGUAGUGUCAUAUGUGUCGGGCACGCAGGGGGGUUAGAGGGGGGGGCACUAGGCCCCCCCUCGGGGGGUGCAGAGGGGUGGAGACCUUGAAAAAAAAAAAAAUUGCAUCGGGACCACAUUAUAUUUAGGUGGUUUUUCGGCACAUGGUUUCUUUGCCGAUGGUUUUCUAUUUCUGGUUAAGGAAUUAAGGUUUUGGACUAAUCCAGGUCAUUGGGUUAGGGUUUUGGAUGCCAUUGGCUCCUAUAUGUAUUUUGCAUUGUAAACAUUGUAACAUGAUGAAUAAUAUAGAAUAUGUUGGUUUUCCUAGUUUGGGUUUCUAGGGGAAAAAUCUCUAUGUGAUGUUUGUAUUUGCCAAUGUAUCUUUUCUAUUCCUUUACUGAAUAUAUGUUUACAGUAGAUAUUGUACAAGGUUAAAAUAUACAGCAAACACAUAAUUAAUUUAAUUUUACUUAUAAAUUAUUCUUAUUUUUAUUGCUAAUAUAAAGAUCUAAACAUGGUUUUCAACAUAUGUGGUUCAUUGUGAUGUCACUGGGAUACAUAGUGGUCAUUUCUUAAAACUAAACCCACAAAUUCAUCGUCAAGAAU